rnacentral:lncRNA from 1 species
CCGCCUUGCAGUUUGAUCUCAGACUGCUGUGCUAGAAAUCAGCGAGACUCCGUGGGCGUAGGAGCCUCCGAGCCAGUCAUGGUCUGGAGUCAAGAAAUGAAGAGGGCAAGCAAUGUUUUUGGCAUCCUGACUACAGUUACAUGCAGUUUGGGGCUGCUGCAAUGGCAACUCAACGGAGAGGUUAGGAACACCAACUCCAGGAUCAGGCAAUCUUUGAAUCCCUGUCACUAGCAGCUUUGUAUAUUGGAGCAAGUUACUUAACAUCUGUAUUCAGUGACAUCUUUCUAAAUUGUUUAAAAUGAGAAGCAUUGCACACUGAGAGUCAGGAUCCAAGUGUCUUUGACUGAGCCAACUCAGCUCUGCUAUUAACUUAUGGUGUGAUCGCAGGCUGUCUAGAAAAGGACACCAACAAUCACCCAUGAAGAUUGCCCUUCAACCUUUGGGAGGAAAUGAUCGAAAUGGGAGCUAGAGAAGAUUGUUGUUGGAAUCUCAGUUCUUCAGAGAGCUACUAUCAACAGAUUGAGUUGACAGGAAAAAGUCAUAAUCCAGGCCAAAGUGAGCAAACUCCCAAGAGCAUUCCUGGUCAGCACCGCAGCAAAUCCGUGGCAAGUGCAGAGAUUAUAAGCAAUUUCUCCAUGGCUGGAAUUCAGUUGAUCUGGGACUGAACCUAUUUCUAAUGGGGUCUUGAUAUAUUGCCCAGGCUGGAGUGCAGGGGCUAUUCACAGGCACAAUCAUAGCUCACUACAGUCUCAAACUCCUAAUCUCAAGCAGUAGCUGGGACUGUAAGUAUGCACCAACACUCCCGGUUUGGGUAUCUCCAUUGAUUGGCAACCAGCACCACAGUAGAUGCUGAUGAAAAGAAAGUUAUGAAUGUCAUGUAAAAUGACAGUAGUAUUAGCAAAUGUGCUUUUAAUUAUAAGAAAAUUACAAUAUGUAAAAAAAUUUCAAUUUUCCCAUAUUAUCUCUUAAUAAUAACUGCCAUUUGUUGAGCCCAUUGGGUAUGUUACAUAUAUUAACACAACAGGAUGGACAUUAUCUAUCUUAUAUAUAUUAUGUGUAUAUAUACGGAAAACAGGACACAAAUUGUCUGAGGCCAUGGACAAUUAGCUUGCAGUAAAGUAGGAUUCUAAAUUAGGUUUCUCUAGCUCCAAGACCCAUGCCAUUUUGUUUGGUCAUUUGCUUCUGAUGAAUCAAAUAUUAAUUCAGCCAAAGACAGCUAUUCAAAGCUGGUUGAAUAACUUACUAUGUGUAAUUCACUUGUGUCCUGCCUUUCUUCCGAACUUUUGUACAAAACCUUGAUUAUUUUAAUAAGGCAUUCUAUACAUAAAGUUUCAAAUAAACCAUAAGUACCUCAAGAAAAUGUCAUAUAAUUUAGAAUUGAAUCAUAGCAUAUUUUUAAUCUGGAAGCAACAUAUCUAAAUAAGCCAUUUUUAUAUUAUAAAUACAAACAGGUACAAAGAAGUAUAGUUCACUUUACAAGCUGUUGUACAUGCAUAAUACCAUAUUAUGCUACCAAAGAAACUAUUAAGUUAUACAUAUUUUUUACAGCUUUAACUAUUUUUGUUGUCAAUUUCCUCUAAUAAGAUUUUUUCUGGAUAAACAAAAAUUUAUCUACUCAAAUGAUUGUUUUUCUUCAACAUCAUAAUGUUGCAGGCCUAUUGAUGUAUAUUUUUGUGUACUAAAUAGUUUGUGGAGCUCUUCUUGAAGAAUUAUCUUCAGAGCUGAUUAACCAGACACACCCUCCAGACAUCAUAGUCACAGCUGCUUUGAGACAGCAACAACCUCAUCCCCGCAAAUAGUAUGGAUUCCUGUCUUAUUCAAUAGGUCUGAAUUUUAAAUACUCUUAGCUUAUUUCAAGAACUAAAUCUAUCCUCCACAAAUAAAAAUGUGCUGCCGCUCAGAAUAUUUAGGAGAAUAUGUGAUAGCCAAGAUACUUUUGGCUUAUUUCAAAAAUUCAUCUAUCUCCACAAAGGAAAAUGUUUCACCAUUCAGAAUAUUCAAGAGAAUUUUCUUAGAAAAGAAAUCCAAGAUUGUAUUCAUUGGAAUAACAGACCUUUCUUCAAGGUGACUUCUUUCAAAAGAACAAUAUUUAGGGGUAUAUAGAACAUCAUUUUUAAAAUAAUUUAUUUUGCUAUAUUUACCACAUUUCAUGACACCCUAAAAGAUUUUGGCUAAUGAAAUUUAUACAGUUCAAAUGUGUAUUCCUGAAGAGACAAGACUGAGGGAAAAAAAAUUAUCUCAAAGUCAUUCUCAAAUUAGACAUGAAAUGAAUUAUUAAUUUCUACAUAUUUUACCAUCAUGCUUGUAGUUUUAAUAAACAAAAAUCAAAUGCAUAUAGGCUUCACACACUUUGUGUAAUUGCUUGUUUAACAUCCCCAAAUUCCAUAAAUGCAAAAACUAGAUCUGUCUGGCUUUCCAUUAAGUCCCCAGCACCUAGCAAGGUGCUUAACAAAUAGCAGAUGGAUGUUGGAAGGAAUAAAGGAACAAAGAAAAGAAUAGAAGAAGUUAGUGACUUGAUUCUAUACAGAGUGGACCUUGACACAUACUGCAAGUGAAUGUUAAACUAAAAGUAUAAUUUCUUUAUCAGUGAAUAUAUUUCCAUGAAUUUUAAGUAUUUUGCUGAUGAUUUAUUAAAUAUGUAUUUCACUACUUUCUUUUCUUUUAAUCAGUCCUAUUCCAUCCCCUUCAAAUAAUAAAAAAGUUUCAAUGAUUCAGACUAUUUUUGAAAAGAAGCAUACACACACACACACACACACACACACACACACUAAACAAGCCUUUAAAACUAAAAAGAUUCAUCAGAAAAUCUUACAAACUCUGGAAAGAAUACAUCUCAACAAUUCUCUGCACUUGAAGGAUAAUUUGAAAGGCACAGUUUGCCUUCAUUAAUAAAUCUUAACACUAAUGAACCUGCAAGAAGGAUUUAGGAAUCCAUUGUACUUGAAAAAGAUCAAGAGGAACAUUGUCACAUCAGGAAACCGUGCUAAGAGCUCGUUAAAUGGCCUGACUUAAAAUGCUGUAUGAACCUAAACAAAGAAGUUUUUAUAGUGUAUCUUUCUGCUUCUACCUGCCUAGAUAUCAAAUUAUGUUAUGAAGCAUUCUCUAUAAAGGAAUAGAUCAAUGCCAUAUCUCCCUCAUAGGAAUGGGACAGAUAUUAUUUGACUCCACUUACGGUUGCUAUGAAAUUUAGGCCCUCUCUUGCUAGAACUUCUCAUUUUUCAAGAGAAGCCAGAAAUAAGAUUGUUAUGUAAAUCUUAACAUUUUUAGUGCUGGCAACUAUUUAAAUUUUUUAGACACUGUGGGGGACUUCUGCUUUUCAUAAGGAUGUCAGAAGUUCACCCUAGAACAAGCUGGCUAAACUAGGUUAAAAUUAAAACCAUCCAGGAAUUGAAGCACAAAGAAACCUAAAUAAGGUGAUAAGCCCUUCCUAGGACAGAAGAGAUGCACAGCUACUUUCAUCCCUGAUGAAGCAGCAGGAGAAGGGAGAAUCUACCAUAGACAGCAGUAAGGAGGAACCAGACAAACUUUUAACAAACUUUUAAUGGCUAUCCGUUGAGAUUAUGGAUUAAAUUUCUGGGCUUUAGCCACAGAACAAGUCUGCAUCAUCUCACCAAUGGUGUCUUCACUAAGUGCAUGCAGGUAGUAUACUGAAGGCUGGGAGUGGAAGGAGAGGAGGCAGGGUCUGCUGAGGCAUGCAGGUCUUCCCCAAGUACAAGGGGGAAACCACUGAAGAUCAGGGACAGGAGAGAAACGCUAAGAAAAGUCCCUUUAAGGUCUCUACUGAUGUUCAGAAGUAGACCUCCAAAGAAAGAAUUAAGGUACCUCUCAAAGAUACAGAAAGCUGGAGGUGGGACCUAUGGGAAAUAUCACCUGGC